UGGAAGCGUCUGGAAAGGCGCGCGAUACAGGGUGACAGCCCCGUACACAAAAAUGCACAUGCUGUGAGCUCGAUGAGUAGGGCGGGACACGUGGUAUCCUGUCUGAAUAUGGGGGGACCAUCCUCCAAGGCUAAAUACUCCUGACUGACCGAUAGUGAACCAGUACCGUGAGGGAAAGGCGAAAAGAACCCCGGCGAGGGGAGUGAAAAAGAACCUGAAACCGUGUACGUACAAGCAGUGGGAGCACGCUUCGGCGUGUGACUGCGUACCUUUUGUAUAAUGGGUCAGCGACUUAUAUUCUGUAGCAAGGUUAACCGAAUAGGGGAGCCGAAGGGAAACCGAGUCUUAACUGGGCGUUAAGUUGCAGGGUAUAGACCCGAAACCCGGUGAUCUAGCCAUGGGCAGGUUGAAGGUUGGGUAACACUAACUGGAGGACCGAACCGACUAAUGUUGAAAAAUUAGCGGAUGACUUGUGGCUGGGGGUGAAAGGCCAAUCAAACCGGGAGAUAGCUGGUUCUCCCCGAAAGCU
rnacentral:rRNA from 1 species